rnacentral:snoRNA from 1 species
AAGGCUAUAUUUUCAGGGAUCAUUUCUAUAGUAUGUUACUAGAGAUAUUUUUAUGAUUGUGUGGAGUACAAUAGUAGUGAUAC